AUUCCAGCUCCAAUAGCGUAUAUUAAAGUUGUUGCAGUUAAAAAGCUCGUAGUUGGAUUUCUGGUAGGAGCGACCGUGCCGAACUUGAUUGUUCGUGUAUUGUGUUGUCUUCAGCCAUCCUCGUGGAGAACUUUUCUAACAUUAACUUGUUGGGAUUGGGACCCGCGUCGUUUACUGUGAAAAAAUUAGAGUGUUUAAAGCAGGCAUUAGCUUGAAUACAUUAGCAUGGAAUAAUAAGAUAGGACUUUGGUACUAUUUUGUUGGUUUGCAUACCAGAUUAAUGAUCAACAGGAACAGUUUGAGGAUAUUCGUAUGAACAUGUCAGAGGUGAAAUUCUCAGACCAGCGGAAGACGAACCACUGCGAAAGCAUUUGCCAGGGAUGUCUUCAUCA
rnacentral:rRNA from 1 species